GUGUUCUCCAACCCAGUCCUCAUGGACUACCAACAGUUCAGGAUUUAUGUAUUUUCCUGUUUUAUUCCAUUGGAUAUACUGACAAAACCUGGAAUGUUGGUGGUCCAUGUGGACUGGGUUGGAGAACA